CACAUGCAAGUCGAGGGGUAAGGUUCUCUUCGGAGAAUACACGACCGGCGCACGGGUGAGUAACGCGUAUGCAACCUACCUAUAACACAAGGAUAGCGCCCGGAAACGGGAAUUAAUACUUGAUGACAUUCAAAGAUGGCAUCAUCAAUGAAUCAAAGUUCCGGCGGUUAUAGAUGGGCAUGCGUGACAUUAGCUAGUUGGUGAGGUAGAGGCUCACCAAGGCGACGAUGUCUAGGGGGUCUGAGAGGAUGAUCCCCCACACUGGUACUGAGACACGGACCAGACUCCUACGGGAGGCAGCAGUGAGGAAUAUUGCGCAAUGGAGGAAACUCUGACGCAGCCAUCCCGCGUGCAGGAUUGACGGCCCUAUGGGUAGUAAACUGCUUUGCUAUACCAAGAAACACCGAUACGUGUAUCGGUUUGCCGGUAGUAUAGGAAUAAGCAUCGGCUAACUCCGUGCCAGCAGCCGCGGUAAUACGGAGGAUGCAAGCGUUAUCCGGAAUCACUGGGU
rnacentral:rRNA from 1 species